rnacentral:rRNA from 1 species
UGGGGAAUAUUGGACAAUGGACGAAAGUCUGAUCCAGCAAUACCGCGUGUGUGAAGAAGGCCUGAGGGUUGUAAAGCACUUUCAAUUGGGAGGAAAACAGGCGAAAUUAAUAUCUCGUCUCUUGACAUUACCUUUAGAAGAAGCACCGGCUAACUCCGUGCCAGCAGCCGCGGUAAUACGGAGGGUGCAAGCGUUAAUCGGAAUUACUGGGCGUAAAGCGUUCGUAGGCGGCUGUUUAAGUUAGAUGUGAAAGCCCCGGGCUUAACUUGGGAACUGCAUUUAAAACUGGACAGCUAGAGUUUAGGAGAGGGAAGUGGAAUUUCAGGUGUAGCAGUGAAAUGCGUAGAGAUCUGAAGGAACACCAGUGGCGAAGGCGACUUCCUGGACUAAAACUGACGCUGAGGAACGAAAGCGUGGGUAGCAAACG